rnacentral:lncRNA from 1 species
AGAGUUCUGGAUGUAACACCAACGUACGCGGCCUCUCUGUCUUGGUCUGGGUAACUAAUAGGGAUCUCAUAGACACCUGAUCUUUCAUGGUGCUGGCGCGGGUCCUUCUCGUUACGGAUGAUGUUAAGGGUGGUGGGAGCCCUCCUAGUGGAUAUCUGCUUCUUAGUUUUUCGCGCGAUUUCCCUUACUAUACGGAGGUUGCUAGUGCCAUAUGGCACUGACAGGGGGUCAUUCUUCCGGUCGUGUUGGUUGCGCUCUAAGGGGCGGUUUCUGUUGGGUAGGUUUCGCUUUACUCUACGGUGGACUUUAUUUAUAAAUGCGUUCGUGUAACCGUGAGAGCGGCCUAUGCUAUAAAUGUAGUCAAGUU